rnacentral:rRNA from 1 species
GACGAACCGUGCGAACGUUGUUCGGAAUCACUGGGCUUAAAGGGCGCGUAGGCGGGUCAGCAAGUCUGGGGUGAAAUCUUUCGGCUUAACCGGAAAAGUGCCUUGGAUACUGCUGGUCUCGAGGGAGGUAGGGGUCUGUGGAACUUCUGGUGGAGCGGUGAAAUGCGUUGAUAUCAGAAGGAACGCCGGUGGCGAAAGCGACGGACUGGACCUCUUCUGACGCUGAGGCGCGAAAGCUAGGGGAGCAAACGGG